UACGUAGGGCGCAAGCGUUGUCCGGAAUUAUUGGGCGUAAAGAGCUCGUAGGCGGCUUGUUGCGUCGGCUGUGAAAACCCGGAGCUCAACCCCGGGCCUGCAGUCGAUACGGGCAGACUGGAGUUCGGCAGGGGAGACUGGAAUUCCUGGUGUAGCGGUGAAAUGCGCAGAUAUCAGGAGGAACACCGGUGGCGAAGGCGGGUCUCUGGGCCGAUACUGACGCUGAGGAGCGAAAGCGUGGGGAGCGAACAGG
rnacentral:rRNA from 1 species